CGGCCUAGCAAUUAGCAAUGGCGCUGGGUGAGUUUGCUGCCGACACCACUUUACGCUUGUUGUGUUUGACAGAGUUAUUGUAGCUUUAAAAAUAGACAACUUUUAACAAUGGAUCUCUUGGCUCUUGCAACGAUGAAGAACGCAGUAAAGUGCGAUAUCUAGUGCGAUUUGCAUGAAUCUGUGAGUCAUCGAGUUUUGAACGCAACUUGCGCCCAGCAAUGGGCAUGUCUGUUUGAGUACCGCAAAUCUUUUGCCCUCUGCAAAGAGGACGAGUUGGGCUGGGAGACGGCGCAAGCUGCCUCUGGCCUGGAAUGGAGCAAGAAGAUGGACGUUGGUCGCAUCUCUGUGUGCUAUAAACACGCAAGUGUUUGGUCGCAGGGCGUGUGCUGGCGCGCUGUCGCAAUACAACCAUUUUUUCAUGGUCUCAAAUCAGGCAGGAUUACCCGCUGAACUUAA
rnacentral:rRNA from 1 species